UACAGGGGGGGCAAGCGUUGUUCGGAAUUACUGGGCGUAAAGGGUCUGUAGGUGGCCAACUAAGUCAGACGUGAAAUCCCUCAGCUUAACUGGGGAACUGCGUCUGAUACUGGAUGGCUCGAGUGUGGGAGAGGAAUGCGGAAUUCCAGGUGUAGCGGUGAAAUGCGUAGAUAUCUGGAGGAACACCGGUGGCGAAGGCGGCAUUCUGGACCACAACUGACACUGAGAGACGAAAGCCAGGGGAGCAAACGGG
rnacentral:rRNA from 1 species